rnacentral:rRNA from 1 species
UGGUGGAGUGAUUUGUCUGGUUAAUUCCGUUAACGAACGAGACCUCAGCCUGCUAAAUAGUAGUGCCAACCUUCUACUCGGGUGAAGCGGGUCAUCUGGGGGCGGUUCGCCGUUCUCUCUUGGUCCGUGGAUCCUUGAUGCGUUGGCAUCUUACUUCUUAGAGGGACUAUUCUACGUUUAGGGAAUGGAAGUUUGAGGCAAUAACA